rnacentral:rRNA from 1 species
CAGUAGCCACGGUAAUACGGGGGGGGCAAGUGUUAUUCGGAAUGACUGGGCGUAAAGGGCACGUAGGCGGUGAAAAGGGUGGAAAGUGAAAGUCGCCAAAACACUGGCGGGGUGCUUUCUUGACCAUUUCACUUGAGUGAGAUAGGGGAGAGUGGAAUUUCGUGUGGAGGGAUCAAAUCCUAAGAUAUACGAAGGAACGCCAACCGCGAAGGCAGCUCUCUGGGUCCCCACUGACGCUGGGGUGCGAAAGCAUGGGGAGCAAACAGGAUCAGAGACCCCAGUAGUCCCUGUCUCUUAUACA